UAAGUUUGAUUUUGGUUUUAGUUGUAUUAAGAUAAUAUUACUUAUUUUUAGUUUAUUUAAUGUGUAAUUUUUUAUCCACUGGUAGUUUUUUAAUUGUUUUAUAAGUGUUCCAGAAUAAUCGGCUAUACAUUUUAAUUUUUAACUCUAUUUGUUGUUUUGUCUUUUUUUUUAUUUUUGUUUUUAUGUUAUUUUUGUAAAAUGUUUUAGUUUUUAUAUUUUUUAAAAAGACAUUUAAAAUUUGUUUUUUGAACUGGAUUAGUACCCAGGUAAUCAAAAUUAAUUAAUUCGGGAGUAAAGUUUUGUUUAAACCGAAAAAAUAUUGACUGACCUUGGAUUUUUCUUUGGAAUAUGCGUAUGGAGAGCCCUCUUUUUUGGUGAGUCUUAUCGGCACAUGUAUGAUUGUUUAGUUUUUAUUUUAUUUGUAAUGCUUUUUAUGUUUUGUCAUUUAAAACAGAUAUAUAUUUGGCUUAUGGACUUAUAAUCGUGUGUUACUAUUAUUAAUUUUUUUUGGAUUAUUUUUUUAUUUUUUUUUGAAAUUGGAAAAGAAAGUAAUUUUUUUUUUAUAUGAAGAUGAAUUUAAUAAAUAAGGUGGUACAAACCAUCCGUCAAUGGCCUACAGGGGCGUAAGUUGUAGUAUGGUAGAGGUAAGGAAACUUGUCUCUAUUUUUUAAA